rnacentral:ncRNA from 2 species
UGGAAGUGUCGUAACUGGCGCAGGUGGAAUACCACCGGGGAGCGAUAACCUGGCCUCGCUGGCCGCCCGCCUGGGUCUGCGAG